GAAAUACUAGUUAAAUAAUAACAAUGUCUUGUCAAGACAUAAUUACCAUAGGUGUACUUCU
rnacentral:tRNA from 1 species